CCUACGGGAGGCAGCAGUGGGGGAUAUUGCACAAUGGGGGAAACCCUGAUGCAGCGACGCCGCGUGGGCGAAGAAGUAUUUCGGUAUGUAAAGCUCUAUCAGCAGGGAAGAAGAAACGACGGUACCUGAGUAAGAAGCACCGGCUAAAUACGUGCCAGCAGCCGCGGUAAUACGGAUGGUGCAAGCGUUAUCCGGAUUUACUGGGUGUAAAGGGAGCGCAGGCGGCACGGCAAGCCUGAUGUGAAAGCCCGCGGCCCAACCGCGGAACUGCAUUGGGAAUUAUCGGGCUAGAGUGUCGGAGAGGUAGGCGGAAUGCCUGGUGUAGCGGUGAAAUGCGUAGAUAUUAGAAGGAACACCGAUGGCGAAGGCAGCCUAC
rnacentral:rRNA from 1 species